rnacentral:rRNA from 1 species
GACGAACGCUGGCGGCGUGCCUAAUACAUGCAAGUCGAACGCAUUUUCUUUCACCGUAGCUUGCUACACCGAAAGAAAAUGAGUGGCGAACGGGUGAGUAACACGUGGGUAACCUGCCCAUCAGCGGGGGAUAACACUUGGAAACAGGUGCUAAUACCGCAUAAUUCCAUUUACUGCAUGGUAGAUGGAUGAAAGGCGCUUUUGCGUCACUGAUGGAUGGACCCGCGGUGCAUUAGCUAGUUGGUGGGGUAACGGCCUACCAAGGCUGCGAUGCAUAGCCGACCUGGGAGGGUGAUCGGCCAACCUGGGACUGAGACACGGCCCAGACUCCUACGGGAGGCAGCAGUAGGGAAUCUUCGGCAAUGGACGCAAGUCUGACCGAGCAACGCCGCGUGAGUGAAGAAGGUUUUCGGAUCGUAAAACUCUGUUGUUAGAAAAGAACAAGGAUGAGAGUGGAAAGUUCAUCCCUUGACGGUAUCUAACCAGAAAGCCACGGCUAACUACGUG